rnacentral:rRNA from 1 species
CCUACGGGAGGCAGCAGCAAGGAAUUUUGUGCAAUGGGCGAAAGCCUGACACAGCGACGCCGCGUGGGGGAUGAAGGCCUUCGGGUUGUAAACCCCUUUUCUCAGGGAAGAAUAAUGACGGUACCUGAGGAAUAAGUCACGGCUAACUACGUGCCAGCAGCCGCGGUAAUACGUAGGUGGCUAGCGUUAUUCGGAUUUAUUGGGCGUAAAGAGGGCGUAGGCGGCUUUUCAAGUCGGAUGUAAAAUCUCCCGGCUUAACUGGGAGGGAGCAUUCGAUACUGUUAGGCUAGAGGGCAGCAGAAGGAGGUGGAAUUCCCGGUGUAGUGGUGAUAUGCGUAGAUAUCGGGAGGAACACCAGUGGCGAAGGCGGCCUCCUAGGCUGUUACUGACGCUGAGGCCCGAAGGCGUGGGGAGCAAACAGGAUUAGAUACCCCGGUAGUCC